rnacentral:ncRNA from 1 species
UUGGUAGCAAUGAUUAAGAGGAGUAGUUAAAAACAUUGUAAAGAGAGUCACUGGUUUGGUGUAAAGUGAUCAAUGUGAUAAUGAAGGCUAUCUUAGGAGCUAAAAGUACACUGGCUUUAACAGUAUAAAUGAGUGCACGAUUUUUCGUGAACUAAGGUGGUACCACGGAUAAUUCCGUCCUUAGA